rnacentral:lncRNA from 1 species
UUUCAACUUGCUUAUCUUUUCUAGGUCGGGGAGCCGGGGGAGGGGUAGUAUUUUGGCCACUACUUUCACCGGUUUUAGCUUUUCCUUUACCGAACAAUUUUUUCAACGAAAAUGCCAUAAUAAUUAGAAUUAAGAAAACUAAAAACUCAAAAAAUUACUUUUAGCACGUAAGAGUUGAAACGAGUUUACCGGAUUGACGAACAACUUCUUGAAAAUUGAAAAUCGUUGAACUUGAACACUUGAAAACUUCAAUUCAAUAACUUCACAAUUUUUCACGAAUUUGCAACAAUAAAUUAAGCACUUGCACUAGAAAGAUUGAAAGAGAGCUUGAGAGAGAUUGAUGAAUUGGUGAUUAAAAAUGAAAGAAUGAGGGGGUAUUUAUAGUUGAGAAAUGAGAAAUAGUGCAAUUAU